rnacentral:rRNA from 1 species
CAGUCGAGCGGACAGAUGGGAGCUUGCUCCCUGAUGUCAGCGGCGGACGGGUGAGUAACACGUGGGUAACCUGCCUGUAAGACUGGGAUAACUCCGGGAAACCGGGGCUAAUACCGGAUGCUUGAUUGAACCGCAUGGUUCAAUUAUAAAAGGUGGCUUUUAGCUACCACUUACAGAUGGACCCGCGGCGCAUUAGCUAGUUGGUGAGGUAACGGCUCACCAAGGCAACGAUGCGUAGCCAACCUGAGAGGGUGAUCGGCCACACUGGGACUGAAACACGGCCCAAACUCCUACGGGAGGCAGCAGUAGGGAAUCUUCCGCAAUGGACGAAAGUCUGACGGAGCAACGCCCCGUGAGUGAUGAAGGUUUUCGGAUCGUAAAACUCUGUUGUUAGGGAAAAACAAGUACCGUUCGAAUAGGGCGGUACCUUGACGGUACCUAACCAGAAAGCCACGGCUAACUACGUGCCAGCAGCCGCGGUAAUACGUAGGUGGCAAGCGUUGUCCGGAAUUAUUGGGCGUAAAGCGCGCGCAGGCGGUUUCUUAAGUCUGAUGUGAAAGCCCCCGGCUCAACCCGGGGAGGGUCAUUGGAAACUGGGGAACUUGAGUGCAGAAGAGGAGAGUGGAAUUCCACGUGUAGCGGUGAAAUGCGUAGAGAUGUGGAGGAACACCAGUGGCGAAGGCGACUCUCUGGUCUGUAACUGACGCUGAGGCGCGAAAGCGUGGGGAGCGAACAGGAUUAGAUACCCUGGUAGUCCACGCCGUAAACGAUGAGUGCUAAGUGUUAGAGGGUUUCCGCCCUUUAGUGCUGCAGCAAACGCAUUAAGCACUCCGCCUGGGGAGUACGGUCGCAAGACUGAAACUCAAAGGAAUUGACGGGGGCCCGCACAAGCGGUGGAGCAUGUGGUUUAAUUCGAAGCAACGCGAAGAACCUUACCAGGUCUUGACAUCCUCUGACAACCCUAGAGAUAGGGCUUCCCCUUCGGGGGCAGAGUGACAGGUGGUGCAUGGUUGUCGUCAGCUCGUGUCGUGAGAUGUUGGGUUAAGUCCCGCAACGAGCGCAACCCUUGAUCUUAGUUGCCAGCAUUCAGUUGGGCACUCUAAGGUGACUGCCGGUGACAAACCGGAGGAAGGUGGGGAUGACGUCAAAUCAUCAUGCCCCUUAU